CCUAAGAUAGACUCACUGACUGAUUACAUUGUCGUUUUCAAGUAAACUUUCCGUGUUUGACUGCGCGUCAUGCAGCCGCAGUCAUGUGGGACGGGGUUGGCGGUAGUUUUGGUGUCAAGCUUUUGUCGGAUAUAUCAUUGAUCCACCUUUCAUGCAAGUCACCGGAUAUCCACCGCCAUUAAUUCCCCCCUCGCAACCUUGCGACGAUGUUGAACUUCCGUAAUCCGUGUUGAACACGGAGCUCGACAGAUUUAAGAUCGCAAUGCCCUUCUAUACAUCCUUGUCACAAAUCAAAAGCUUGAGUGUAUGGUUGCAUCUCUUCUCCCAGAAUGGAUAAGGAGAAGAAAACCCACCCAUAAAUGCCAAGGUGACAUGGUCUGCCUGCUACGCCGACUUAUUAUUGAGCCGUUUGAUCAAAGAACACAACUGCUGAGAGUUCAUGAGCGAAAAGCAUGCUCCUGUGCAGCCCUCUCUUAUCCUCCGUUCAUGGGUUGGUUAUCAUUGACCUGAUAGAGAUACGCGUCCCACUUGUUAAAUCCGAGCACGGAAGAUUGCACAAGAGAGUGACACAUGACCAUAUGCUCUUCCUGCCGUCCAAUUCAGAUCGGAUCUGGAAGAUGGAAAUGGUCUCGAAAAAAAAGAUCUGAAAGAUGGAGUUGCUAGCUAGGAGCCUUCUCUAACAGAUAUGAUCUCUGAGAAUGCGUGGAUAAGAACAAGGGACGAUAAGAAUUCCCGGUAGGAUGGAGCUGUGGGGGAAGUAACCGAAGAUCGCAGCUUUUGGGUACGGAAAGAAAUUGCGUGAGGCAAGCUGCUAGCAAGCCGGAUACAGUUGGAUGAAGCAUGUGCCUUAUCCAGCACCAAACACUUCCACAUGUAUGCAUAUAUAUUAUUUUUUCUUAAAGACAUGUGUAUAUCCUUUUGCCUACCUCUACUCUUUGUGUUUGAGCAUGGUGCUGUGUUAAAGAAUGGCGGCAGUUGUUGAAUCAUGUGGCAUGGACGGGAUAAGAUGAGGUCUUGGGUGUCGAAAUUUGUCGUCUGAGUUGCUCAAAUAGAUCUAUUGAUUAAGAAAUGUCCCCUGUUAUAUCAAGGUUCCAUUGGAUAC